CAGUAGCCGCGGUAAUACAGAGGGUGCGAGCGUUAAUCGGAUUUACUGGGCGUAAAGCGUGCGUAGGCGGCUUUUUAAGUCGGAUGUGAAAUCCCUGAGCUUAACUUAGGAAUUGCAUUCGAUACUGGGAAGCUAGAGUAUGGGAGAGGAUGGUAGAAUUCCAGGUGUAGCGGUGAAAUGCGUAGAGAUCUGGAGGAAUACCGAUGGCGAAGGCAGCCAUCUGGCCUAAUACUGACGCUGAGGUACGAAAGCAUGGGGAGCAAACAGGAUUAGAUACCCCAGUAGUCCCUGUCUCUUACAC
rnacentral:rRNA from 1 species